AACGCAGAUAGUGGAUGCCUUGGUCGUAUCUUCCGAAGAAGGACGUACAUAGCCACGAUAGUCGACGGGGAACUGCUACGAAGUUUUGAUCCGUCGGUGUCCGAAUGGAGCAAUCCUUCCUGAUUUAUAUCAGGAAACUUGUAAGCCAAAUUAUCCAAUUUAUUGGAUGAAUAACUUACAAUGAGGGAACCAUCUGAACUGAAACAUCUAAGUAAGAUGAGGAAAAGAAAUCAAAGAGAUUGCGUCAGUAGCGGCGAGCGAAAGCGCAAGAGCCUAAACCUUGUUCAUGUUUACAUGAGUGAGGGGUUGUGGGAGCCCAAUGUGGGAUUAGAAUUUAAUAGUAGAACAAUCUGGAAUGGUUGACCAUAGAGAGUGAAAGUCUCGUAAACGAAAUUAAAUUUUACCCUAGGGAAUUCCCAAGUAACAUGAGAUACACAUCUUGUGUGAAUCCGGGGGAACCAUCCUCCAAGGCUAAAUAAAGAUACGAACCGAUAGUGAACUAGUACCGUGAGGGAAAGGUGAAAAGAAGGGUGAGACACCCAAUGAAAUAGAAACUGAAACUAUCUGCGGCGUGCCUAUUGAAGAAUGAGCCUGCGAGUUCUCGCUUACUGUGUGUUUAAAACGGUUUUACCGUUUAGGCAUAGCGAAAGCAAGUGUUAAUAGCGCGUAUAAACACAGUAACCGGGAGACCCGAAACCGAGUGAUCUAACCUUGAGCAGGGUGAGUCUUAAAGAAAUUUAAGAGGAGGCCCGAACCCGUUAUCGUUGUAAUGAUAUGGGAUGACUUGUGGUUAGUGGCAAAAUACCAACCGAACUCGGAGAUAGCUGGUUCUCCCCGAAAGGUCUAUAGGGACCGCGCCAUGCAAAAAGAUUAUCAGGGGUAAAGCUACUGGAUGGGUUAGCAAGGGUAACCGAGUUAACUCAACCAAACUCAGAAUACUGAUAAAAUAAAGCAUGGUAGACAGUCAUAUCGGGCUAAGCUGAUAUGGCUAAAGGGAAACAUCCCAGAUUUUCAGCUAAGGCCUCUAAAUCUACAUUAAGUUUAAAAGGAAGUUUUUUCUCUCAGACAGCCAGGAGGUUGGCUCAGAAGCAGCCACCCUUUAAAGAUAGCGUAACAGCUCACUGGUCGACUGAGAAGAAGCGCGUGCCGAAGCUAGAGAUGUCCUACUUUUAGUAGGGCGUGGUAGGGGAGCGUCCCAUAUGCAGUGAAGGCAAAUUGUAAGAUUUGUUGGAGUGUAUGGGAGUGAGAAUGCAGGCAUGAGUAGCGCACUAGACGGGUGAAAAUCCCGUCCGCCGAAUACCCAAGGUUUCCGUCGCAAGGUUCGUCCUCGACGGGUUAAUCGGUUCCUAAGGUGAGGUCAGUUUAACUGGCGUAGCCGAAGGACAAGUAGUUAAAAUUCUACUAUUUUUUGUAAGUCGUUAUUAAUUGGGGGUUCCCAAACAGGAAUACUGUAGCCUUCAUGUGAUGAGGGUUUAAACUGUGAAAUAGUUCUGAAUAGAAAAUCUAUCAGAAUGUUUAAUUGAGCAGUAAUGUAAAUUUCGCCGUGAGGUGAGAAAUUACAAAUAUUUCAGUUUGCAAGAAAACACUCGCAAUGAGACUUAUAAGAAGCCGUACCGCAAUCCGACACAGGUGGGUUGGUAGAGAAUACUAAGGCGAUCGAGAGAAGAAUCCUCAAGGAACUCGGCAAAAAAACUACCCGUAACUUCGGGAGAUGGGUUCCCUAACUUUUAGUUAGGGGCCACCAAAAGUUUGCUGACCGACUGUUUAUCAAAAACACAGGUCUGUGCGAAGUCGAAAGACGAAGUAUACAGGCCGACGCCUGUCCAGUGCCGGUAAGUUAAAGAGAGGAGUGGUACGAAUUUAUUCGUACUGCUUUGACCUAAAGCUCCGGUGAAACGACAGCAGUAACUAUGCGAAGUUCCUUGCCAGGUAAGUUCUGGCCCGCACGAAUGGCGUCACGAGUUAGCAACUGUCUUGAGGUUUCACUCGGCGAAAUUGCGUUGGCUGUGAAGACGCGGCCUAAUCCCACUUGGACAAAAAGACCCCGUGGAGCUUUACUGUAGUUUGGCAUUGCCUUAAC
rnacentral:rRNA from 1 species